rnacentral:rRNA from 1 species
UACGGGGGGGGCAAGCGUUGUUCGGAAUUACUGGGCGUAAAGGGCUCGUAGGUGGCCAACUAAGUCAGACGUGAAAUCCCUCAGCUUAACUGGGGAACUGCGUCUGAUACUGGAUGGCUUGAGUUUGGGAGAGGGAUGCGGAAUUCCAGGUGUAGCGGUGAAACGCGUAGAUAUCUGGAGGAACACCGGUGGCGAAGGCGGCAUCCUGGACCAAUACUGACACUGAGGAGCGAAAGCCAGGGGAGCAAACGGG